rnacentral:rRNA from 1 species
GACGAACGCUGGCGGCGUGCCUAAUACAUGCAAGUCGAACGAGAGCGACCGGUGCUUGCACUGGUCAAUCUAGUGGCGAACGGGUGAGUAACACGUGGGUAACCUGCCCAUCAGAGGGGGAUAACAUCCGGAAACGGAUGCUAAAACCGCAUAGGUCUUCGAGCCGCAUGGCUUGAAGAGGAAAAGAGGCGCAAGCUUCUGCUGAUGGAUGGACCCGCGGUGCAUUAGCUAGUUGGUGAGGGAACGGCUCACCAAGGCCGUGAUGCAUAGCCGACCUGAGAGGGUGAUCGGCCACAUUGGGACUGAGACACGGCCCAAACUCCUACGGGAGGCAGCAGUAGGGAAUCUUCCGCAAUGGACGCAAGUCUGACGGAGCAACGCCGCGUGAGUGAAGAAGGUUUUCGGAUCGUAAAACUCUGUAGUUAGAGAAGAACAAGUGCUAGAGUAACUGUUAGCGCCUUGACGGUAUCUAACCAGAAAGCCACGGCUAACUACGUG